rnacentral:rRNA from 1 species
UACGUAGGGUGCAAGCGUUAAUCGGAAUUACUGGGCGUAAAGCGUGCGCAGGCGGUUAUGCAAGUCAGAUGUGAAAUCCCCGGGCUUAACCUGGGAACUGCAUUUGUGACUGCAUAGCUGGAGUGCGGCAGAGGGGGAUGGAAUUCCGCGUGUAGCAGUGAAAUGCGUAGAUAUGCGGAGGAACACCGAUGGCGAAGGCAAUCCCCUGGGCCUGCACUGACGCUCAUGCACGAAAGCGUGGGGAGCAAACAGG